GGCUCUUGAAUAUAUAGCAUCAUUUGGCAGCUUUCAUACAUGAAGAGCUGAGGUUAUUUUAUUUUAUUUUAGCAGAGAAAAACAAAUAGCGGAAGAUGUGCAAACAGCAGCCCCAGUGAGGAGGAGAAGGAAAGAGAGAAGGUAAGGGCUGCAUCUAUGGAAUUUCUCAUGAGAUGAUGAGACAUGAGCUACUGGAAAAUUUUCUGUGCUUUUCUGUGUCUGUGUCUCUUCUAGCCCAUGCUUCUGCAGAGGGCACACAGUAACACAAGUUUUCAGUGCCAGUGAAUGUAUAAAAUAGAGAACACUCUGAGCAUGUCUCCUCACAAAAAAAGUGGCUGGACUUGUUUUUCCCUCCUUUAUAGUAUACCCUCCCUGUGCCCAGCUCAAACAGGAACAAACUUCAUGAGUUAUCCUGUAAAUCCCAAGAUUGAGAAAGUCCCUCAAUAUUUUCUUUUGAAGAUCUCCAAUAUGAGAAGCAAUAAGGUAGUCGGGAAAUGGGUUGGGUACUGGAAAAACCGGAGUCCUAGUUAGUGUUCUCUUAAUAGAGUUUGGGCAAAAAUUUACCUGUCUCUGUUUUCUUAUUUGUAAAACAGGCAAACUAGAUGUAUAUCUAAGUAAGUAUUUUCUCUUGGUCCCCAGCUUCUAAUAGUGACCUGGAUCAUAAGUAAUUAAAGAAAACAAACAAGACAGUGCUGUAGAAAACCGGACAGUGAAGAACAUAAUCUCAGUUAAGGUAUUAUUGGUACCACAUCUAGAAAGGCCAGUGAAUCUGAUGUGUCUUCAUGAACAAGCAUUUCCCCUGCUCUAUAUUUAGAGCUGUGUCAUGGAAUUGGAAUGAAUACGCCUUGGAGUUUUCUUAGCUCUACUUGGGGACACAUAGUUUUGUAAACUUACUGUUAUAAACCAAUUUUCCUGGAAGGGACUUCAGCAUGUGGAUGACCCCGUGGGUAUUCAGUUAUUGGCUGGUGUCUUUCCUCUGAAUCAGAGCUAAAAAAUAUAUUUUAAAUAAACACUUGUUUUCUGGCUUGUUGAAGGUCUUACAUUUUUUAAAAAAAAUAUUUCUCUUUGCAUAAUAUGAAACCUGUAUAUUAGGUCAAAUUUGGGUACUUUGAUCUAUUUGCAUGUAUACCAAUGUAGUCUGUAGACACACACGUGACUCUCGUUGGUUUACUGGGAAUUGUAUUGAGCUGGCAAUGCCUUUCUGUGUCCCUCACUCAUUUGCUUCCAAAGAUAGAAUACUGCUGCAGAUUAAAGGAUAAGACUAUUUUUGAUCUCAACACCAAAGAACUCUCUCUGUGCAAAGAAACCAAGUAGACCCAAGGCCAUAGUUGUAUAAUCAUAAAAAAGAGUGGCUGAAUUGUUUUUGUCCCUCUCCUCACUAAUGUGGGCACCAAGAUACUUUGCUGAAGGCCUUUGAUUACUUAUGUACCUUGAUGCCAACUUUACAAGGACAAGGACCAGUUGAAUUAGGGAGUUAGUUGUUUCUAGUUCUCUAAGUAGAGAUUCAGCCUCACAUGAUAAUAACUCGCAAAAAAGUUCAAUUUGACAACCUGUAAAUCUUAAAUUUAGUUUAUCUCAAAUUCAUGUCCUGGUCCCAUUUAGGAAAAAUGGGCUUGUUUUCUCUUUUCUUUUCUCAUUUGAAUUGUUCUUUUCUGUCCAAACCCAAAACCUUAACUCCACCUCUGAAUAUUAUUUUUUUCUUUUAGAUGUUAGCAGUAAUCUAAACAGGCUGUAAUUUUUUUCUCUUAUAGUCUGAUUUUUAUCUUAUAUCUGUUACACCAAUUAGUAGAGGUUCUCAGAUUUUCAUACCUAAACAGGGGAGUAACCCUCCAAAUGAGUUCCCUUUUCCACUAUACCUAACAUACACACACACACACACACACACUUUUUGUAUAGACCUAAUACUACUAUUCUUUGAUACAGGACUCUUUUCUAGUUACUCUUCAAUGACUAAUGCCUUAACCUCAUUUAAAAAAAUAUUUUCUAGCUGCAGAUGGACACAAUACCUGUAUUUAUUUAUUCAUUUUUAUGUGGUGCGGAGGAUUGAACCCAGUGCCUCACACAUGUGAGGCAGGCACUCUACCACUGAGCUACAGCCCCAGCCCCCUUAACCUUAUUUUUUCACCCAGAAUGAGACUCUGAUACAUUUCAACUCACUUUCAUCAGCAUGUUUAUUUUGAGACCAUGAAGAAACCAAUAAACACUUUUCCCUUGGAUACUAAUUUAACCUUUGGCAGUUACUGUAUGCUUCAUCAUUCCUAUUUGAGAAAGUAUAAAACAUUCAGAGAAGUCUUCUAGGAGUUAUUAGAAUUAUUAAAAUGAUCAUAUGAGGAUGAUAAAGCUGCUCAAGAAGUUGAGUAUGGAGGUAGAUAAUAAUAAUAGUAGUAAUAGCAGUAAUAUUGGUGUAGUUAUCAAUGAUUGUCACUAUGUGCCAGAAAAUAUUCUGUACUUUUUUUUUUCAUUGACUUAAUUCUACAGCAACACUCUGAGGUUGGUCCUUGGUAUCUCACAGAUGUGAAAACAGAGGUUUUGACAGGCUCAGUACAAAGAGGUGCAUGCUUUAAUAAAGUCCCAAAGGAUUGCAAAAUCCCAGCAGCAGAGAUAAGCUAUCCAGCUGGAAGAAAGUUGUAAAAAGAAGUCAUAAAAUAGAGGAAAAUGACUGGGGAUUUUUCAUUUAAUUAAUUAAAAAUGUGACAUUGUUCAGUCUUAUAUAACUAUAGUUCUAUGAGUUCAUGAUUGUGUUUUUAACUGGGUGAUCAGCUCCUUGAGGAUCAAUAUUAAUUCUUUUUGUCUCCUGUAUAAGGGCUAACCUAGUGCUUUUCACAAAGUGGAAAUACUUUACUUAAAAAAUACUUUUUCUUGUUUCGAGCAGUGAGAUCCUGUGUUUCAGCUUUUGUGGUUGCUACUGUUCUAGAUACAUAUCUGAAGGUAGUCUGCUUAUAUGGAAAUAGGUUAGUAUACACUAACUGUAUAUAUAAUAUAUUUAUUUCUGUUUAAGAAUGUUUAAACAAUCUUAAAAAUGGGAUGGGAGGAAUCUUUGGAAAAUAAAAAAAAGAAUAGGUUAAGACUCUCCUCCCCAUGGACAAAAUAGGUUAGUAUAUACAUUUAUAUGCUAAUAUAAAUGUAAAUUAUGAUAUAUACCAAUAUAAAAUAAAUUAUGAUAUUUUCUGUUUUUAGUUUAUCAUGAAAUAUUUUUGGACCUGUCAUUCUCUGUUUAUUCCAAUCAUAAUUAUUUGCUAAGCAGUGUUUGGUUUACAAUUGAAAGGAUUAGAGCUGGUAUAGGUAAGGUGAUGUGAGUUGCCAAAGAUUUUCACAGAAUCAUGGUUCUCUGGAGUUCCUCAUUUUGGUAAGUGUGUCUUUGUUAGAGUUUCAGUGACUUUCAUUGGAAGGAUUAAGUAGGAUUAAAUAAAAAAAACAAAGUGAUUAUAACAGUCCAAUACAUCAUAGUGCUAUGUAAGUCUUAAAAGUCAUUGUUGUCAUCUUCACCAUCAUCACCAUCAACAUCAUCUUCACUCAUGUCCUUCCAUUUCUAGUUGUCAGUAAACAUCACUGUUGAAAAUGGUUCCUAAACUAACAUCAAUGUUGCACUUGGUGGUGUGGCCUUAGUAGAGGAUUUACAACCUUAGAUUUCAUACACUUAGUGGAUACACUUCAUUAAUGUACUACUGGUACCAUUGUUUCUCAUGCAUCUUAUGUAACAUUUUUGAGGGGCAGUAUAGUGUCCUCUUCUUGAAGAAAGUAUGUGAUACUCCCUGCACAAACCUCCUUUUACCUCCAACUCGAUCUUAUACUAUUCAAUAUCCUUGAUUCAAAACUGGAUUCUAUUUACAUGCCAUUUAAUAAAUUCAACUAUUUUUUUAAGUUCAUAUUAAAGUUAGUGAAAAUUAAUAGUCCUGAAACAUUAGAACUAAAAUUAAAUUUGUGGAUGAUAAGCAACAAUUUUUUACAAAUUAUUUUAUUCUUUAAUUUAAAUACACCUAACAAUUAUUUUUUUAAAAAAGAAAGAAGUUAUUUGUUAUUUAAAUAAAAAAAACAAAGUUUAGGUGAAACAUUUUGUUAGUUAUCCAUCUCUUCUUUCCGAGUCAAAUGACACAUAUUUGAACAGGGAUAAAUGUUCACUUGAAUUACAACCAUUUAAACAGAUUUAUCAAGAAAGCUGCAUGUGCAGAAAUAUUUACUUGACUUUAUUUUUAUGAAUUCCUAAUAUAGCCUUGAGCGCAGACACUUCUCAACACAUGAUUCUUUUAAUUCAAGUUUUCUGUAAUUCAUAUUUUUCUAGUAAAAGUUAUUGACUAUAAUAAUAAGAAUUUAAAAUAAAUGGAAUAUUUACAAAAUAUUUGUGUGGGUUGAUCACACAGGAAUCAUUCAUUUUUAAUAUUUGAUCAAUCCCAAUAUUACUGAGCAUAUACCCUGAAUUUAAAUGUUAUACUCACACAGCUAAGUUUAAGAAAGGGGAGGGUGGUUUAGGAUAUAACUCAAUGGUAGAGUACUUGCCUAGCAUGCGUGAAACUCUCUGUUUGAUCCCCAAUACUUAAAGAAAAAAUGAAGUGACAGUUAACAUAUUUUCUUUUUUUUUUAUUUUCCAAAGAUUCCUCCCAUCCCAUUUUUAAGAUAGUUUAAACAUUCUUAAACAGAUCUCUGAAUAUUCAAAGAAAUACAAUGAAAAUAUUGGGGAGUGUUCUAGUUAGUUAGUUUUUGUUGUUGUUGUUGUUUGCUGCUGUGACCAAAAGACAUGACAAGAACAAUUUUAGAAGAGGAAAUGUUUAUUUGGGGGCUCACAGUUUCAGAGGUUUGUUUUUUUUUUUUUUUCCAUAGAUGACCAACUCCAUUGCCCUGGGCCAGAUAUGAGGAAGAACAUCGUGAUAGAAGGGCAUGACAGAGGAAAGCACCUCAGGACAUGACACCAGGAAGCAGAGUCAGAGAAAGAGAGAGAGAGAGAGAGAGAGAGACUCUCCUCCCAAUGGACAAAAUACAUACCCCAAUGACACAUCCCAAAUCACCCACCUCCUCUAGCCACACCAUAUAUGCCUACAUUUACAACCCAGUUAAUCUGUAUCAGUGGAUUAAUACAUUGAUUAGGUUAAGGCUCUUAUUUCAUCUCUAAACCCCCUUGCAGGGUCUCACACAUGAACUUUGGGUGGACACUUCAUAUCUAAACCAUAACAGGGAGGCAACAUGUUUUCCUAGUCCUUCAUUUAUUAUAAACUUUAAUUCGUAGUCAGGAAAAAGUGGAAGAAUAAUAUUUUGGAAUAAAGUUGAAAUGAUUUAAUACUUUUCAUUUUUAAAUGUAUUGUGCUUACUUCUCUCAUAUUGCUACUAAUUAAAGUGUAAGAAUCUCAGAAACAGAGAAGCAUUCCCAUAGUACUUUCUUGAACAACAGUGUCACUGAAACACAAAGGAAUGGUAAGGUAAUUUUGAUGAAAAUUUCUGAUUGUGUGCUACAUAUAGUUCUGAAAAAUGUUUAUAAUUUUAAUAAAUAAUAGUAUCAAGUUACUUCGUGGAUUAAUUGAUAUAAUAGACCCACUGGUUACUUAUAUUUUAAUUGAUACAUGAUCUAAGCAAAUCAUAAUGGAAGUCUAUAGCAAUAAGAACAGAGUUUCACAAAAAUACAUAUUCAACAACAGGUUUAAAAGUGUUCAGAGUAACUUAACAUUCAAUUUUGUUUCUCUUUCUUUCUUUCUUUCUUUUUUUUGGUUUGUUUGUUUAAACUAUAUAUUUUAUUAAUUAUUCAAGAAAUUAUAAAUAUAAAUUUUAAAAUGUGAAAGGAUGACAUGCAGAUC
rnacentral:lncRNA from 1 species